UACGUAGGUGGCAAGCGUUGUCCGGAAUUAUUGGGCGUAAAGCGCGCGCAGGCGGUCCUUUAAGUCUGAUGUGAAAGCCCACGGCUCAACCGUGGAGGGUCAUUGGAAACUGGGGGACUUGAGUGCAGGAGAGAAGAGUGGAAUUCCACGUGUAGCGGUGAAAUGCGUAGAGAUGUGGAGGAACACCAGUGGCGAAGGCGGGUUGCUGGGCCGACACUGACGCUGAUGCGCGAAAGCCAGGGGAGCGAACGGG
rnacentral:rRNA from 1 species